GGUCCGAUGCCACGUCGCCGGUAGCGAAGUUGUGCAAUGACUGGCGAUGCUACGAUCGGACCUAAAUUAAAGCAUUCAUUGUUGUUUCGCAUAUUGAUAGGAACCUGUGGAUCUGAUUUUAACCAUUCAUCCACAGAGCCGGUUUCUGCGAUUACAUUU
rnacentral:snoRNA from 1 species